rnacentral:rRNA from 1 species
AACGAACGCUGGCGGCGGGCCUCAUACAUGCAAGUCGAGCGCGAAAGUCCGCAAGGAUGAGUAAAGCGGCGCACGGGUGAGAAACGCGUGGGUAAUCUACCCUUUGGAUUGGAAUAACCUGUCGAAAGACGGGCUAAUGCCAAGUAAGCAGUCGAAAGCGUAAAGCUCUUGCCUGGAAAGAUGGCGCAAGCUAUCGCCGAAGGAUGAGCCUGCGUCCCAUUAGCAGUUGGUGGGGUAAAAGCUUACCAAGGCUAUGAUGGGUAGCUGGUCUGAGAGGAUGAUCAGCCACACUGGAACUGAAACACGGUCCAGACUCCUACGGGAGGCAGCAGUAGGGAAUAUUGCGCAAUGGACGAAAGUCUGACGCAGCCACGCCGCGUGAGUGAGGAA